CCGGUUGAUCCUGCCGGACCUGACUGCUAUCGGAUUGAUACUAAGCCAUGCGAGUCUUUGUAGCAAUACAAGGCAGACGGCUCAGUAACACGUAGUCAAUCUACCCUAUAGACGGGGAUAACCUCGGGAAACUGAGAAUAAUACCCGAUAGGCCAUUAUACCUGGAAUGGUUUAUGGCUCAAAUGAUUUUUCGCUGUAGGAUGGGACUGCGGUCUAUCAGCUUGUUGGUGAGGUAAUGGCCCACCAAGGCUAUAACAGAUACGGGCUCUGAGGGGAGAAGCCCGGAGAUGGGUACUGAGACACGGACCCAGGCCCUAUGGGGCGCAGCAGGCGAGAAAACUUUGCAAUGUGCGAAAGCACGACAAGGUUAAUCCGAGUGUUUUCUGCUAAAGAAAUCUUUUGUCAGUCCUAAAAACACUGAUGAAUAAGGGGUGGGCAAGUUCUGGUGUCAGCCGCCGCGGUAAAACCAGCACCUCAAGUGGUCAGGAGGAUUAUUGGGCCUAAAGCAUCCGUAGCCUGCUUUGUAAGUUU
rnacentral:rRNA from 1 species